rnacentral:rRNA from 1 species
AAAGGUUGACCUCGGAUCAGGUAGGAAUACCCGCUGAACUUAAGCAUAUCAAUAAGUGGGAGGAAA